CCUACGGGAGGCAGCAGUGGGGAAUAUUGGGCAAUGGAGGAAACUCUGACCCAGCGACGCCGCGUGCGGGAUGAAGGCCUUCGGGUUGUAAACCGCUUUCAGUAGGGAAGAAGCGAAAGUGACGGUACCUACAAAAGAAGCACCGGCUAACUAUGUGCCAGCAGCCGCGGUAAUACAUAGGGUGCAAGCGUUGUCCGGAAUUAUUGGGCGUAAAGAGCUCGUAGGUCGUUUGUUACGUCGGAUGUGAAAACCUGAGGCUCAACCUCAGGCCUGCAUUCGAUACGGGCAAACUAGAGUUUGGUAGGGGAGACUGGAAUUCCUGGUGUAGCGGUGGAAUGCGCAGAUAUCAGGAGGAACACCAAUGGCGAAGGCAGGUCUCUGGGCCAAUACUGACACUGAGGAGCGAAAGUCUGGGGAGCGAACAGGAUUAGAUACCCUGGUAGUCCAGACCGUAAACGGUGGGCACUAGUUGUGGGAACCUUCCACGGUUUCUGCGACGCNGCUACGACAUAGUAGCCCGCCGUCGGGAGGUACGUACGUCGCGACGAAGUUAAAACGUUAAAGUAAGUAGUAGGUAACGGUGUAGAGAGUCGACGACGACGACGACGGAGGAGGAG
rnacentral:rRNA from 1 species